CUUGGUCAUUUAGAGGAAGUAAAAGUCGUAACAAGGUUUCCGUAGGUGAACCUGCGGAAGGAUCAUUAUUGAAUAAGUUGGGAGGUUGUGGCUGGCUCUUUGGAGCAUUGUGCACGCCUUUCAAACUCUUCUCAACCACCUGUGCACUCUUUGUAGACCUGGAUAAAAAACGAACCUUUCAAGGAAACUUGGAUUUGAGGGCAUGCUGGCUUCUCAGGAGGUCGGCUUCCCUUGCUUAUUUUUCCAGCGUCUAUGUCUUUAUACACCCCAUUUAGAAUGUAACAGAAUGUCAUUGAUGGCUUGCCGUAAAAAAGCAAUGCCUUUAAAUUUAUACAACUUUCAACAACGGAUCUCUUGGCUCUCGCAUCGAUGAAGAACGCAGCGAAAUGCGAUAAGUAAUGUGAAUUGCAGAAUUCAGUGAAUCAUCGAAUCUUUGAACGCACCUUGCGCUCCUUGGUAUUCCGAGGAGCAUGCCUGUUUGAGUGUCAUUAAAUUCUCAACCACUUCAACUUUUGUUAGUUGUGAGCGGCUUGGAUGUGGGGGUUUGCGGGCUUCUUCUAGAAGUCGGCUCCCUUUAAAUACAUUAGCGGAACCCUUGUGGACCGUCUCUGGUGUGAUAAUUAUCUACGCCAUUGCCGGGAAACAGUUAUACAUGGGAUCAGCUUCUAACUGUCCCCUUGGACAAACAACUUUAUUGACAUUUUGACCUCAAAUCAGGUAGGACUACCCGCUGAACUUAAGCAUAUCAAUAAGCGGAGGA
rnacentral:rRNA from 1 species